CCAGAUCAGAGGCAGUAGGGAUAACCAGGGAUGUUCUCUGUUUAGUGAGUCCACCAGAUCAGAGGCAGUAGGGAUGACCAGGGAUGUUCUCUGUUUAGUGAGUCCACCAGAUCAGAGGCAGUAGGGAUGACCAGGGAUGUUCUCUGUUUAGUGAGUCCACCAGAUCAGAGGCAGUAGGGAUGACCAGGGAUGUUCUCUGUUUAGUGAGUCCACCAGAUCAGAGGCGGUAGGGGUGACCAGGGAUGUUCUCUGUUUAGUGAGUCCACCAGAUCAGAGGCGGUAGGGGUGACCAGGGAUGUUCUCUGUGUAGUGAGUCCACCAGAUCAGAGGCAGUAGGGGUGACCAGGGAUGUUCUCUUGAUAAGUGUGCGAAUUUGACC
ensembl:lncRNA